GUUAGUUCUAUCAUCAUUGCAAUUUAUAGAUAUUGUGGGAUGCCUAGCACCCCACCAAGGUAGGUUUCUGCUCAGGAGGUGUGAGCCACAUGAGAAAUUAAGAAGUCUGAAAUAAUUAGUAAGAAAUAGAAAGAGCCAGAAAUUAGAUAUAAAGGGGGGCAUCUGUUAGGUCUUCCAGUCCUGAUAGGAACUAAAACUGAACAACUGAAAAAUGGCCCCAAUUCUUUAUUUAAAGGGGAGUACAUCAAAAACAGGGAUAAGGUUUCAGAGGAAGGAGUCUUGGUAGUAUUGGUUCAGUGCUUGUUUCUUGGUGGGUGUGGCAGUAGUCUUGCAGUAAACGGGUUAAUUGGCAUUUUGACAAGCCACACCCAUCUCCAAAAGGCUGUGUGGUUCAGAUGGGUCACCCCAUCUCAGAUAAUGUGCUGAACUUGUGAUGGAGCUAUGUAGGAAGCCAUAUGAACCAGGUGUUCUCAAACCAGCAGGAUUGCUGCUGGGAGUUCCCAACAUCAGACUUUCCUGUCUAAUGGCUUCAACAUUAUUUUAAUUCAUGGAUGGCUCCCAGCAUAGACUUAUUUGUAUUAAUUAAUCUCACCCCCCCCCUGUUUUAUUGAUACCAAGGAUUGAACCCAGAGGUGCUUAACCACUCAGCUAUGUCCCCUGCCC
rnacentral:lncRNA from 1 species